rnacentral:rRNA from 1 species
CAGUAGCCACGGUAAUACGAAGGGUGCAAGCGUUAAUCGGAAUUACUGGGCGUAAAGCGUGCGUAGGCGGUUUGUUAAGUCUGUUGUGAAAUCCCCGGGCUCAACCUGGGAAUGGCAAUGGAUACUGGCAAGCUAGAGUGUGUCAGAGGAUGGUGGAAUUCCCGGUGUAGCGGUGAAAUGCGUAGAGAUCGGGAGGAACAUCAGUGGCGAAGGCGGCCAUCUGGGACAACACUGACGCUGAGGCACGAAAGCGUGGGGAGCAAACAGGAUUAGAUACCCCGGUAGUCCCUGUCUCUUAUCC